GCAGCCGCCGCGGGAAUACGAAGGGGGCUAGCGUUGCUCGGAAUGACUGGGCGUAAAGGGCGCGUAGGCGGCGAUCAAAGUCAGGCGUGAAAUUCCUGGGCUCAACCUGGGGGCUGCGUUUGAUACUUGAUUGCUAGAGUGGGAAUGAGGGUCGUGGAAUUCCCAGUGUAGAGGUGAAAUUCGUAGAUAUUGGGAAGAACACCGGUGGCGAAGGCGGCGACCUGGUCCUUGACUGACGCUGAGGCGCGAAAGCGUGGGGAGCAAACAGGAUUAGAGACCCCCGUAGUCCCUGUCUCUUAUAC
rnacentral:rRNA from 1 species